rnacentral:rRNA from 1 species
GAGUUUGAUCAUGGCUCAGGACGAACGCUGGCGGCGUGCCUAACACAUGCAAGUCGAGCGGAGAUUAGCGGAUGGUAACUGAAGUUAAUUUUAGCGGCGGACGGGUGAGUAACACGUGGGCAACCUGCCUCAAAGAGGGGGAUAACACCGGGAAAUCGGUGCUAAUACCGCAUAACAUACACACAUCACAUGGUGAGUGUAUCAAAGGAGAAAUCCGCUUUGAGAUGGGCCCGCGGCUGAUUAGCUAGUUGGUAAGGUAACGGCUUACCAAGGCGACGAUCAGUAGCCGACCUGAGAGGGUGACCGGCCACACUGGUACUGAGACACGGACCAGACUCCUACGGGAGGCAGCAGCGAGGAAUAUUGGUCAAUGGGCGCGAGCCUGAACCAGCCAAGUCGCGUGAAGGAAGAAUGUCCUAUGGAUUGUAAACUUCUUUUGAAGGGGAAUAAAGUGCGCCACGUGUGGUGUUUUGUAUGUACCCUUCGAAUAAGGAUCGGCUAACUCCGUGCCAGCAGCCGCGGUAAUACGGAGGAUCCAAGCGUUAUCCGGAUUUAUUGGGUUUAAAGGGUGCGCAGGCGGGAUAAUAAGUCAGUGGUGAAAGUUUGCAGCUUAACUGUAAAAUUGCCGUUGAAACUGUUAUUCUUGAGUACAGACAAGGUAGGCGGAAUGUAUUGUGUAGCGGUGAAAUGCUUAGAUAUAAUACAGAACCCCGAUUGCGAAGGCAGCUUACCGGACUGUAACUGACGCUGAGGCACGAAAGCGUGGGGAUCAAACAGGAUUAGAUACCCUGGGUAGUCCACGCAGUAAACGAUGAAUACUAGCUGUUCGCGAUAUACAGCGAGUGGCACAGCGAAAGCGUUAAGUAUUCCACCUGGGGAGUACGUUCGCAAGAAUGAAACUCAAAGGAAUUGACGGGGGCCCGCACAAGCGGAGGAACAUGUGGUUUAAUUCGAUGAUACGCGAGGAACCUUACCCGGGCUUGAAAUGCAG